rnacentral:tRNA from 1 species
GGGAUUAUAGCUUAGUGGUAGAGCAUUGGCCUAGCAUGUAUAAGGCCCUGGGUUCGAUCCCCAGCACUGCUA